rnacentral:tRNA from 1 species
CCUCUCAUGGCGUAGUGGUUAACGCGCCCCAACUAGAGAUCGGGGAGUCGUGAGUUCGUUUAUCACUGAGAAGA